GGACGAAUGACACUUUAGAUAUUGCUAAUUCCCCUCUCUUGUGUUUCCGUUACUCAUCUCUGAUUAAGAAGAGAAAUAUUCCUAUGUAAAACUCUGACGAAUUAUGCGAGCAUUUAUAGUAAAAGCGAUCUUCCUCGUGUGUCUGGGAGUUUUAUUAUAUGCGACAGUGUCAGAAGGAAUCUUAGUAAAAAAACUUCUGAAGUUCCUUUUCGAAAAAAGAAAUGUGGUACUUUUUCCUGUUCCCAUUCCUAUUUUCAGAAAAAUUUCGCCCCCUGUUAAGCAAGCAAGUUUUGAACUUCAUCAUGAGGAAGUAUUUCCAGGCCCUGCAGAUUAUAUAAUUCCACCACCACCACCCAAUCCACCUUUUCCACCUUAUGAUGAUUUCGCGUAUCCAUAUCCUUGACAAAGGGAAAACUGAG